CAGUAGCCGCGGGAAUACGAAGGGGGCUAGCGUUGCUCGGAAUGACUGGGCGUAAAGGGCGCGUAGGCGGCGAUCAAAGUCAGGCAUGAAAUUCCUGGGCUCAACCUGGGGGCUGCGUUUGAUACUUGAUUGCUAGAGUGGGGAAGAGGGUCGUGGAAUUCCCAGUGUAGAGGUGAAAUUCGUAGAUAUUGGGAAGAACACCGGUGGCGAAGGCGGCGACCUGGUCCUUGACUGACGCUGAGGCGCGAAAGCGUGGGGAGCAAACAGGAUUAGAUACCCGCGUAGUCCCUGUCUCUUAUAC
rnacentral:rRNA from 1 species